rnacentral:rRNA from 1 species
GACGGAGGGCGCAAGCGUUGUUCGGAAUACUGGGCGUAAAGCGCGGGCAGGUGGCCCGUUAAGUCUGCGGUGAAAUCCCGGGGCUCAACUCCGGAUAUACCGCGGAUACUGGCGGGCUAGAGACCGGUAGAGGCAAGUGGAAUUCCAGGUGUAGCGGUGGAAUGCGUAGAUAUCUGGAGGAACACCGGUGGCGAAGGCGGCUUGCUGGGCCGGUUCUGACACUCAUCCGCGAAAGCGUGGGGAGCAAACGAGGAUUAGAAAACCGUAUUAGAACCCAGCAAGUCCCAUGCUCACC